rnacentral:ncRNA from 2 species
AUUUCACAUAGAGGUCGCGAUUGACAUGAGUCGCUUGGUUAAACUGUUAUAACAGUUUAACCAAGUAAAAGGGGAUAUCGCCGAAAUGAAUCGUCUUCAAAGGAGAUAUUUGUUGGGCUAAUAGCUAAUAACUAUUAGACUGUCGUUAGAAAUAACGGUGAGCUAUGGAAACA